rnacentral:rRNA from 1 species
AUUGAACGCUGGCGGCAGGCUUAACACAUGCAAGUCGAGCGGGGUGAUGGUGCUUGCACUAUCACUUAGCGGCGGACGGGUGAGUAAUGCUUAGGAAUCUGCCUAUUAGUGGGGGACAACAUCUCGAAAGGGAUGCUAAUACCGCAUACGUCCUACGGGAGAAAGCAGGGGAUCACUUGUGACCUUGCGCUAAUAGAUGAGCCUAAGUCGGAUUAGCUAGUUGGUGGGGUAAAGGCCUACCAAGGCGACGAUCUGCAGCGGGUCUGAGAGGAUGAUCCGCCACACUGGGACUGAGACACGACCCAGACUCCUACGGGAGGCAGCAGUGGGGAAUAUUGGACAAUGGGGGGAACCCUGAUCCAGCCAUGCCGCGUGUGUGAAGAAGGCCUUAUGGUUGUAAAGCACUUUAAGCGAGGAGGAGGCUCUUUUGGUUAAUACCCAAGAUGAGUGGACGUUACUCGCAGAAUAAGCACCGGCUAACUCUGUGCCAGCCGCCGCAGUAA